rnacentral:rRNA from 1 species
CUACGGGAUGCUGCAGUGGGGAAUAUUGCACAAUGGAGGAAACUCUGAUGCAGCAACGCCGCGUGGAGGAUGACACUUUUCGGAGCGUAAACUCCUUUUAUAUAGGAAGAAGAUGACGGUACUAUAUGAAUAAGCGCCGGCUAACUCCGUGCCAGCAGCCGCGGUAAUACGGAGGGCGCAAGCGUUACUCGGAAUCACUGGGCGGAAAGAGCGUGUAGGCGGAUUAAAAAGUCAGAAGUGAAAUCCUAUAGCUUAACUAUAGAACUGCUUCUGAAACUCUUAAUCUAGAAUGUGGGAGAGGUAGAUGGAAUUUCUGGUGUAGGGGUAAAAUCCGUAGAGAUCAGAAGGAAUACCGAUUGCGAAGGCGAUCUACUAGAACAUUAUUGACGCUGAAACGCGAAAGCGUGGGGAGCAAACAGGAUUAAAUACCCCAGUAGUC